rnacentral:lncRNA from 1 species
GUUACGUAAUCGCGCUCCAUCGGGCGGUGGGAUUAGGAUCUAUCCACACUUGAACGUAUUCUAGGUAGUGAAGUUUUGUGCGCGCUAUUCCUUGUUCGAGAAGGGUUUGGGAAUGGCGAGCGCCAGCGAGCUCGAUCCGACGCCCCGGUGCUAGCUCUUGGAAUCGGGAGCGGCGAGGCGCUCUACAUUCCGCGGCGCGGCGGCGGUGGCGGCGUCGGCGGCGGCGCGGGGAUUUCAUCCGGUACGUCUUCCUGCCCGCAUUCUCGGGCUACCGCGCAUAAAUGCUGACGCUCCGGCUGUGGAUUUUGGAGGCAGGCGAUUUCUUUUAUCCCCGGAGCGCUGGCAUCGCGUGUUUUGUUGCUUGUGCGGGGUCCAACGUCGCUAGCGCGGCCUCUCUUUUUGCCAGAAACAAUGCUGUCCCCCUCGUGACAGAGCCAGGUACACAAAUUGGAGAUCUAAAUUUUAGAUUUUAGCUUGCAAUGGCUGGGGGCGAUUAAAGAAUCCUUCGCCAAAGUCAAGUUGGGAGGGAGAUAAAAUAUAUGGACAGCUUUCCUCGGAGACGAGCGCACAGGCUACAAGCAUCAUCCAAUCUUUUUCCGUGGCUCCUUCGACGAAGAAGCACAGCGCAGAAGUUUGGUGGGUUUGGGAAUCUAGAACACUUNNNN